GCCGGUGUAGCUUAGGUGGUAGAGCAACUGAUUCGUAAUCAGUAGAUCCGCAGUUCGAAUCUGCGCACCGGCAUCA
rnacentral:tRNA from 1 species